AGAUUUUGAAGAAAUCGCGAACCUUUCCUCAAUUUAAUAUUUGUCCAGCAAUAGAUAUUUUCGUUAAGCUAGAGUGAUUUGGCAAAAUUAGAUAGGGGGCAAGAAAGAAACCAUCUUAAUCAAGCAGAAAUAAAAGCCCUGGAGGAGCUAAAAAAAAGGUUAAAGGAGUAGCGAUAAAGCGAGCAGACAAGGGUGGGAACAUAGUCAUUUGGCCGACUGACAUGUAUGAAAAACAAGUGUUCAAAUUAUUGGAAGAUAAAGCAUGUUAUAGACAUCUGCCUAACAAUCCAAUUCUGUCAUUCCAAAGGGAACUGAAUUGUAUCCUUGAUUCGGCACAAGAAGAAAAUACAAUCUCCAAAAAAUUGAAAGAAAUGUUACUGGUAACCUGUCCAAGGGUCCCAACAUUUUGUAUUAUCCUUAAAAUCCAUAAAAACAGGUUGGAUCCACCAUAGUUGCAGGACACCACGGCCACUAAAUAGAUUGGAAAACAUUCAAAUUGAUAAGGGGAUGCUUAUAGUUACAGCUGAUGUUGAGUCGCUUUAUAUUAGCAUCAAGCAUGAAGAUGGCCUUAGAGCAGUGGCAGGAUUUUUAAGAGAUAAAUAUCUGCAAAUUCACGGAGUGGCCAUGCGGGCCACUUGUGCCCCCUCGUAUGCAAACCUCUUUUUAGGAGCCUGGGAAAAGGAAAUUUUUCGCAAUGAUAACAUCCAAGGAGUAGAAAAGGUGCAUAGCUGGAUGCGUUAUAUUGAUGAUUUAUUUUUGUGGUAGGGGUCUGUGGAAGAACUGCAUCAAUUCAUGAAUAUCCUUAACACCAAUAAUCUAAAUCUUAAACUCCCAUUUCAAGUGGCAAGGGAAGUGGAUUUUUUGGAUUUGAAAAAAUAAAGUUGGUGAUAAAGGAAAUUUGGAGACGGACAUCUACAGAAAAGAAACAGUGGUUAAUGCCCUUCUACCUGCAGAUUCAGCACAUCCGAAACCAACCAUAGAUGGAAUUCCACAGGUCAGUUUUUGAGCCUAAAAAGAAUGUUCCAAUGAAGUACAGUAUAAGAAUCGGUCUAUUUGAAGAGAAGGUUUCAAGAAAGAGGGUAUAGUAACAGACAAAUCAAAAAAGGAAUUAAAAAAGCUGAUCAAAAAACGAGGGGAAAAUUACUAUGCCUCAAUGAAAUAAAUAAAAAGACCGCCGGACAAGAGAUAAGAUUCAUAACAAAUCACAACACACAAUGGAGACAGAUAAAUGAUAUUUUAAAGAAACACUGGGAAGUCUUGAAAACGGACAUGUGAGAAGAUGUAUAACGGACCACUAAUGACAGCGAAGAGAUCCAGAAAUUUUAAAUCUUAGUCCACAGCCACUAUAUACUAAAAUUAAAAGUGAGGGCUGGGUCACAGAAAAUUGUCUCAUAUCUAUGCGGAUCCUGUAAAGCAUGUAGAAAAAUGGAAAGAUCGAAGAAUUUUGUGGAUGCAGACAAG